rnacentral:rRNA from 1 species
ACACGCUGGCGGCGUGCUUAACACAUGCAAGUCGAACGGUGACGAGGAGCUUGCUCCUCCGAUCAGUGGCGAACGGGUGAGUAACACGUGAGUAACCUGCCCCAGACUCUGGGAUAACAGUUGGAAACAGCUGCUAAUACCGGAUACGAGACGGAGAGGCAUCUCUACCGUCUGGAAAGUUUUUCGGUCUGGGAUGGACUCGCGGCCUAUCAGCUUGUUGGUGAGGUAAUGGCUCACCAAGGCGACGACGGGUAGCCGGCCUGAAGGGCACCGGCCACACUGGGACUGAGACACGGCCCAGACUCCUACGGGAGGCAGCAGUGGGGAAUAUUGCACAAUGGGCGAAAGCCUGAUGCAGCGACGCCGCGUGAGGGAUGACGGCCUUCGGGUUGUAAACCUCUUUCAGCAGGGAAGAAGCGAAAGUGACGGUACCUGCAGAAGAAGCACCGGCUAACUACGUG